rnacentral:rRNA from 1 species
ACUCAAAGGAAUAGACGGGGGCUCACACAAGCGGUGGAGGAUGUGGCUUAAUUCGAGGCUACGCGAAGAACCUUAUCCUAGUCUUGACAUGCUUAGGAACCCUCUGGAAACAGAGGGGUGCCCGCAAGGGAGCCUUUGCACAGGUGCUGCAUGGCUGUCGUCAGCUCGUGCUGUGAAGUGUCGGGUUAAGUCCCUUAACGAGCGAAACCCUUGUCACUAGUUGCCAGCGAGUAAAGUCGGGGACUCUAGUGAGACUGCCGGUGUUAAACCGGAGGAAGGCGGGGAUGACGUCAAGUCCUCAUGGCCUUUAUGAUUAGGGCUGCACACGUCCUACAAUGGGCUGCACAAAGGGACGCAAACUCGCGAGAGCAAGCAAAUCCCAAAAAACAGUCCUCAGUUCGGAUUGCAGGCUGCAACUCGCCUGCAUGAAGCUGGAAUCGCUAGUAAUCGCGGGUCAGCAUACCGCGGUGAAUGUGUUCCUGAGCCUUGUACACACCGCCCGU